CGUAGUUGGAUUUUGGAGUUUGACAAGUGGUCUGCCUAAGGUGUGUACUGCUUGUCGGCUCUUCUUUUCUGGGGACCACAUUGCUCUUUACUGAGGAGUGUUGGGAAUCAGAUCUUUUACUUUGAAAAAAUUAGAGUGUUCAAAGCAGGCCCACGCAUUGAAUACAUUAGCAUGGAAUAAUGGAAUAGGACUUUGGUCUUAUUUUGUUGGUUUCUAAGGCCGAGGUAAUGA
rnacentral:rRNA from 1 species